rnacentral:sRNA from 1 species
UUAGAUUCGGCUAGUUCGCUGCCCUGUUUCCAAGCCCUGAAUGUGUGCGCUUCAACCCGAUGUUCAAAAUUACAUCAACGUUGAGUGCUAAACGCUGCAACUCUCACAUAAUUUUAAUCCUCGGUUUAUUUACUCGAUUAUUUAUUCAAUUGAUUAUUGAAGUCCUUUCGUUUGUUAAAUUAUAAUUACUUUUUUCCCUUCUUUUUACAGUGCCUUGCACACACCUCGAACGCUCAAAGCAACGUCUUUCCAAACCAACUUGCCGAACACCUGCAAACUUUUACGAUAGCAAUUUCUCUCUUGCAAAAGGAGGUCUAGGUUUUUUGGAUUAUUUUUAUAAGAUAUUUCGAGAACUGUCGCUUAAACAGCUUCACCGACGUUCCAGCAGAUACUGAGCCAUCUGUUGCAGUCUUUUUAUUUAUCAAAGCGCGAUACUGCUGGGGAGAAAAUACAUUUUAGGUGGUAGAAACAUAUUAUACCCAUUUCCUUCUAGAAGAAUCUCGAACUCAGUAUUUUCCUCCACAUGGAGACGGGCCUGCAAAACGAAGACAGAAGAGCGCACGGGGAGAGUGAAGAUGUUUCUAAUAAAUCAUACUACGUCGCCAAUGAUUCAAACAAUGUAUCGCAAAAUGAUCUGGGGAACUUGCACGAAAAUUCACAGUCUCCGCGUGGGGAUCAUUCACCUGCUCUUAUGAAUGAAAGCUCUCCUAGGGCGCCAUCGCCGACAACCGAAGGUGACCAUCCAUCACCUCACUCCUCAGCCACCGACGUAAACAGCAAAAUAAUGUUGGUUCCACCUCAGAUGGGACUUACGCCGGAAGAAGUGGCACUAUUACAGCACGCCAGCAAAUCCCCGCCAGUGACGGCGGAUUCGCUCUCUGAACUUGGUCUGGAUGCCAUCAUGAAAAACACCCAGCUUCGUAUGGAUGUUAAUUUUGAUAAGGAUCUUCAUUUUCGACCUGUUGGGGGCCCGGUAAAGGCGAAAAUGGCAAAUGAGUAUUGGCACGCGGUAGCCAUCGAAAUUUCGAUAUUUACCUUUGGCGCUUACAACAACAUCGACUUGUCUUUCUGGGUCCGCAACGCUUCUUCUUCUCACAAAGUCUUCCGAGCAAGACUACCGAACAUGCUCGAUACACUGAGAGAAAUAUUACUGACUCUUGUUCCCGAUCGCGAACGUUCAUGUAUAAAAGAACACUUAGAGACCAAGUUCCUCGUGGCACAGGUCGAAAAGGGGGUGCUAAAUUUGGUCGGACUUGCUGAAUGGCUUGCCGUUCUAUUGAAAACACAUUGUGCGCCAAUGAGGGAUCAAAUGGCGGAUGACAUGGUUGAACAAGUUCGAAAUGGCUAUCAAUUGCAAGAUAUGAAUCAAGUAUCGAAAGGUCUUCAUCAACUUUUUGUCAUACUUGAAUCAAUGAAAUUGGAUGUGGCAAAUCACCAGAUUCGUGCGUUCCGACUAUAUUUGAUAGAAGACUCUGUUGAGUAUCUCAGAAAACACUACGAUUUCGUCAUAAAAAAGUCGCAACAGUCUC